rnacentral:rRNA from 1 species
GAUGAACGCUGGCGGCGUGCCUAAUACAUGCAAGUCGAGCGAACAGACGAGGAGCUUGCUCCUCUGACGUUAGCGGCGGACGGGUGAGUAACACGUGGAUAACCUACCUAUAAGACUGGGAUAACUUCGGGAAACCGGAUCUAAUACCGGAUAAUAUAUUGAACCGCAUGGUUCAAUAGUGAAAGACGGUUUUGCUGUCACUUAUAGAUGGAUCCGCGCCGCAUUAGCUAGUUGGGAAGGUAACGGCUUACCAAGGCAACGAUGCGUAGCCGACCUGAGAGGGUGAUAGGCCACACUGGAACUGAGACACGGUCCAGACUCCUAAGGGAGGCAGCAGUAGGGAAUCUUCCGCAAUGGGCGAAAGCCUGACGGAGCAACGCCGCGUGAGUGAUGAAGGUCUUCGGAACGUAAAACUCUGUUAUUAGGGAAGAACAAAUGUGUAAGUAACUAUGCACGUCUUGACGGUACCUAAUCAGAAAGCCACGGCUAACUACGUG